rnacentral:rRNA from 1 species
UACAGAGGGUGCGAGCGUUAAUCGGAAUUACUGGGCGUAAAGUGUGCGCAGGCGGCAGAGCAAGUCGAGUGUGAAAGCCCCGGGCUUAACUUGGGAAUUGCGCUCGAAACUACUUUGCUGGAGUGUGGCAGAGGAAGGUGGAAUUCCACGUGUAGCGGUGAAAUGCGUAGAGAUGUGGAGGAACACCAAUGGCGAAGGCAGCCUUCUGGGCCAACACUGACGCUCAUGCACGAAAGCGUGGGGAGCAAACGGG